rnacentral:rRNA from 1 species
UACGUAGGGGGCAAGCGUUGUCCGGAAUCAUUGGGCGUAAAGCGCGUGUAGGCGGUUCGAUAAGUCUGCUGUGAAAGUCCAGGGCUCAACCCUGGGAUGCCGGUCGAUACUGCCGGACUAGAGUUCGGAAGAGGCGAGUGGAAUUCCCGGUGUAGCGGUGAAAUGCGCAGAUAUCGGGAGGAACACCAAUGGCGAAGGCAGCUCGCUGGGACGUUAC